GUGCCAGCAGCCGCGGUAAUACGUAGGGUGCAAGCGUUGUUCGGAAUUACUGGGCGUAAAGCGCGCGUAGGCGGGCUUGAAAGUCGAUUGUGAAAGCCCUGGGCUUAACCCGGGAAUGGCAGUCGAAACUCCAAGUCUUGAGUGCCUGAGAGGAUGGCGGAAUUCCCGGUGUAGAAGUGAAAUUCGUAGAUAUCGGGAAGAACACCUGAGGCGAAGGCGGCUAUCUGGCGGUGCACUGACGCUAAGGCGCGAAAGCGUGGGGAGCAAACAGGAUUAGAUACCCUGGUAGUCC
rnacentral:rRNA from 1 species